AUCCUGGCUCAGGAUGAACGCUAGCUACAGGCUUAACACAUGCAAGUCGAGGGGCAGCAUGACGAUAGCUUGCUAUGUGAUGGCGACCGGCGCACGGGUGAGUAACGCGUAUCCAACCUGCCCAUUACUCAGGUAUAGCCCAGUGAAAACUGGAUUAAUCCCUGAUGUGGUCUCGUGCAGACAUCUAAGCGAGACUAAAGUUUCAACGGUAAUGGAUGGGGGAUGCGUCUGAUUAGCUUGUUGGCGGGGUAACGGCCCACCAAGGCGACGAUCAGUAGGGGUUCUGAGAGGAAGGUCCCCCACAUUGGAACUGAGACACGGUCCAAACUCCUACGGGAGGCAGCAGUGAGGAAUAUUGGUCAAUGGACGGAAGUCUGAACCAGCCAAGUAGCGUGCAGGAUGACGGCCCUAUGGGUUGUAAACUGCUUUUGUGCGGGAAUAAAGAAGGGGACGUGUCCUCUGUUGCAUGUACCGCACGAAUAAGGACCGGCUAAUUCCGUGCCAGCCGCCGC
rnacentral:rRNA from 1 species